CAACUACUCCAUCUGUCCCAAAUUUCUUGUCUUAGAUUUGUCUAGAUACGGAUGUAUCUAAUACUAAAAUGUGACUUGAUACAUCUGUAUCUAGACAAAUCUAAGACAAGAAUUUUGGGACGGAGGAGUACUUU
rnacentral:pre_miRNA from 1 species